GGUGUUCGUUGUUCGAACAUAAAAAUCUUUUGCGAAAGUGUUCGUUCUCCGAUUUGUUCGCAGUCCGAACUGUUCGUUAACUGAUCACCCACUAUACCCCAAAGAAGAAGAUGAAUUAAUAAAAAAUAAAUUGCUUUUUCUUCAAAAUCAACUUACUCAACCUAAUAUUACUUUGGAGCAAGAAAAAUUUUCACUAAAACAACCUAAUGAAUAAUAAGGAAUUAUGGUCAGCAACAAUGACAGCAGCAGCGGUCAUCUCAGCGGAGGCAUCUAUAAAUAUAUGGACAGAUAUGUCGGUGCCAGAUAUUGCCAGCACACAGAUCUACAACUACAGUUUAAAAUUUAUUGGUUUUUAUUGUCAUUAUUAAUUAUUUUGAUAUUUAUUUUUUUUUGUGGCCUCAAGCUACAUUGAAUUUAUAAAAAUAAAAAUGCGACAAAGAAAUUGGUCCAGUAGUCCCUAAUUCAACCAUGAAGAAGAAAACAUUUCUUUUAGAGAUUAGUUGGGCUUCUGCUACUGAUUUGGUACUUUGGAUUCUAGCUUAAAUUUCAGCCCCUCAAAACUAAUAUCCACGUAAUAGUUGACAAUAAUUGAAUAAAAAAUGGUCUAAUAUUUUGACUUUUGACAUGAGUAUAUAUGGUAAUAAUUUCUAGACCUUCAAAGUUAGAUUUUGUUCUUAUUUAUUUUUCUUAAACUUACUUUUUUACUUUGGAACAUUAUCAAUAUUUAUAAAGUGUUUGAAUUGAAAAUUGAAUUUGAUUUCAGGCAUAGAGAAUAUGGAUGAUUUCAUUCUUUGUUCUAAUUCUGUAAAAUUCAAAUGUAAAUACUACUGUAAAGGCAUAGCUAAUGUUAACCAGUACAGUCAAACAAGCAAAUAGACUGACUGUGAAGGAAACAGUGACAUAAUGGAUGUUUGAUGGCAAUGGGAAAAAUAAUAAACAAUAGUAGAAACUGGAGAAAGAAAUUUAGAAACAAAACCACACCUUACAUCACACCAGCAAGUUUGUUUCUACAUGGGAUAAAUAAAUUAAGAUCUGAAAAAUUCUGUUAGUAUGAGUUACCAUGUAUUCACGUAUUCUGCACUUUGCUCAACAUUUUUUUGAAAUUAGAUGAGCUUAGAUUAAAUUAUCAUCAUCUAAAAUUUUGUAUUAAAUAAUUACAUAACAAUGAUAAUAAUUUUAUAGCUUUUAUACUGUU